GUAGGUGGCAAGCGUUGUCCGGAAUUAUUGGGCGUAAAGCGCGCGCAGGUGGGUUCUUUAAGUCUGAUGUGAAAGACCCCCGGGCUCAACCGGGGAGGGUCAUUGGAAACUGGGGAACUUGAGUGCAGGAGAGGAAAGUGGAAUUCCACGUGUAGCGGUGAAAUGCGUAGAUAUGUGGAGGAACACCAGUGGCGAAGGCGACUUUCUGGCCUGUAACUGACACUGAGGCGCGAAAGUGUGGGGAGCAAACAGGAUUAGAUACCCUGGUAGUCCACGCCGUAAACGAUGAGUGCUAAGUGUUGGGGGGUUUCCGCCCCUCAGUGCUGCAGCUAACGCAUUAAGCACUCCGCCUGGGGAGUACGGUCGCAAGACUG
rnacentral:rRNA from 1 species